UACAGAGGUUGCAAGCGUUGUUCGGAAUUACUGGGCGUAAAGGGCGCGUAGGCGGCCUACUAAGUCAGACGUGAAAUCCCCCGGCUUAACCUGGGAACUGCGUCUGAUACUGGAAGGCUUGAGGAUGGGAGAGGGAUGUAGAAUUCCAGGUGUAGCGGUGAAAUGCGUAGAUAUCUGGAGGAAUACCGGUGGCGAAGGCGGCAUCCUGGACCAUUACUGACGCUGAGGCGCGAAAGCUAGGGGAGCAAACGGG
rnacentral:rRNA from 1 species